rnacentral:rRNA from 1 species
GAACGAGAAGCCACCUUCGGGUGGUGGACAGUGGCAGACGGGUGAGUAACGCGUGGGAACGUGCCUUUCGGUUCGGGAUAACCCAGGGAAACUUGGGCUAAUACCGGAUACGCCCUCNCGGGGGAAAGAUUCAUUGCCGAAAGAUCGGCCCGCGUCGGAUUAGCUAGUUGGUGGGGUAAUAGCCUACCAAGGCGACGAUCCGUAGCUGGUCUGAGAGGAUGACCAGCCACACUGGGACUGAGACACGGCCCAGACUCCUACGGGAGGCAGCAGUGGGGAAUAUUGGACAAUGGGCGCAAGCCUGAUCCAGCCAUGCCGCGUGGGUGAAGAAGGCCUUAGGGUUGUAAACCCCUUUCAGCGGGGACGAUAAUGACGGUACCCGCAGAAGAAGUCCCGGCUAACUCCGUG